AGGCUGCCGGAGGACCUGCUACGCUGAAAACUUUUACGGGUCAUCAAAAUGAGAAGAGUUUUGUUGGUCUUGACUGUUCCGGAAAUUAUAUUGCUACAGGAAGCGAAAAUAACUCUCUCUGCAUUUACCAUCGUGCAAUGCCAAAACCUGUUGUUCAGUAUAAAUUUGAACCACCACGUGAAUCUCUCGCUCAAACUUUCAGGAAAACGUAUGGAUGUAAAUUUUUGAGCGCUGUUGCUUGGAAGAAGGACUCCAAUAUUUUGGUCGCUGCAAACAGCCAAGGUUUAAUCGAAGUAUUGGAGAUGUCGUAGAGGGGUCGUUUCUCGCAAGUGCCCCGUUAUUUGCGG